GAAACUAACAAGGAUUCCCUUAGUAACUGCGAGUGAAGUGGGAAAAGCUCAAAUUUAAAAUCUGGCAGUCCUUUUGGCUGUCCGAGUUGUAAUCUAGAGAAGCAUUAUCUGUGCUGAAUCCAUGUAUAAGUCUCCUGGAAUGGAGUGUCAUAGAGGGUGAGAAUCCCGUCUUUGACAUGGACUAUCAGUGCAUUGUGAUAUGCUCUCAAAGAGUCGAGUUGUUUGGGAAUGCAGCUCUAAAUGGGUGGUAAAUUCCAUCUAAAGCUAAAUAUUGGCGAGAGACCGAUAGCGAACAAGUACCGUGAGGGAAAGAUGAAAAGAACUUUGGAAAGAGAGUUAAACAGUAUGUGAAAUUGUUGAAAGGGAAACGCUUAAAGUCAGUCACAUUGAUCAGGGAUCAACCUUGCUUUUUGCUUGGUGCAUUUUCUGAUCAAUGGGUCAGCAUCAAUUUUGACCAGUGGAAAAAGGCUGAGGGAAUGUGGCAUCUUUUGAUGUGUUAUAGCUCUCUGUCAUAUACAUUGGUUGGGAUUGAGGAAUUCAGCAUGCCGCAAGGCCGGGUUUUAACCACGUUCAUGCUUAGGAUGCUGGCAUAAUGACUUUAAUCGACCCGUCUU
rnacentral:rRNA from 1 species